rnacentral:lncRNA from 1 species
AAGGUUACUCUCCUAGUGAUUAGCCAUCGUGGAUCUCAGUGGGUUUUGUUAAGAGUGAAAACUCCGGUGAUGAAAAGAUCUCCGUCGUUUUCCCACAGACGGCGCCAAUUGAUGAUCUGAGAUCCAAUAGAAUAGGGUUUUACAAGGGUUUUUGUAUUGAAGAAUAAAACUUGGCCUAUCUCUCUAGAGGGGUAUCCCUUUUAUCCUUUUCUUCCUGCUGGCUGGUGACGUAUAACGGCUCUCCCAUGAUUGGACCACGCGUCUCUGCCAUACAGAUAUGGGCGUACGAGGAUAUCAGGCGCCUGCUCCAUGCGUAACGGCCUCUGAUUCUCCCCCGUGCGUACACUCGAGCGAAUCUGCCAGGCUGUACGACGAGUCUCGUUCUGGAUUCUGGGCUGGGCCGAGAGCUGGGCUGGACGCUGAACCCAGGAGGAGAAGGAAUCCGUGGGGAGGUUAUACGGGCUGGGCCGAUCUCGAUGAGGAAGAAUCUGGUGGAGUCCGGCCUCAGGGGUCUAAUGAUCCGGGCCUGUUUUACUUGAGAGGGCGUGCGGGCCUUCCUUUCAUAGGCCGUGGCCGUAAUCUAGGCCCAGGAUUGGGGGUAGGAAAAUCCAGCGGUCAUCAAUCUAUAUAU